rnacentral:rRNA from 1 species
GACGAACGCUGGCGGCGUGCUUAACACAUGCAAGUCGAACGGAAAGGCCCUGCUUUUGUGGGGUGCUCGAGUGGCGAACGGGUGAGUAACACGUGAGUAACCUGCCCUUGACUUUGGGAUAACUUCAGGAAACUGGGGCUAAUACCGGAUAGGAGCUCUUGCUGCAUGGUGGGGGUUGGAAAGUUUCGGCGGUUGGGGAUGGACUCGCGGCUUAUCAGCUUGUUGGUGGGGUAGUGGCUUACCAAGGCUUUGACGGGUAGCCGGCCUGAGAGGGUGACCGGCCACAUUGGGACUGAGAUACGGCCCAGACUCCUACGGGAGGCAGCAGUGGGGAAUAUUGCACAAUGGGCGGAGGCCUGAUGCAGCAACGCCGCGUGCGGGAUGACGGCCUUCGGGUUGUAAACCGCUUUCGCCUGUGACGAAGCGUGAGUGACGGUAAUGGGUAAAGAAGCACCGGCUAACUACGUG